rnacentral:misc_RNA from 1 species
GGCAUCAUGUUUUCAGCCCCGAAAAACUCUCAAGGACCAGAGUUGAGGCUAUCUCAUCCCAUGUGAUUCAAUCUAGCAAGUAAUGAUUCCACUGUAGGAAAAGCCUUCACUUUGCUUUAUCUUACCUCAACAAACCUGAUUAAUGGUUGUUAUGUCACAAAGAAUUGUAAAAAAAUUUUAGCCCAACUCAAAUAAUCAAAAGCUUUGUUGACUGUGCU